UACGUAGGGUGCAAGCGUUGUCCGGAAUUAUUGGGCGUAAAGAGCUCGUAGGCGGUUUGUCGCGUCUGCUGUGAAAACUCGGGGCUUAACUCCGGGCCUGCAGUGGGUACGGGCAGACUAGAGUGCGGUAGGGGAGACUGGAAUUCCUGGUGUGGCGGUGAAAUGCGCAGAUAUCAGGAGGAACACCGGUGGCGAAGGCGGGUCUCUGGGCCGUAACUGACGCUGAGGAGCGAAAGCGUGGGGAGCGAACAGG
rnacentral:rRNA from 1 species